rnacentral:rRNA from 1 species
UACAGAGGGUGCGAGCGUUAAUCGGAAUUACUGGGCGUAAAGCGUGCGUAGGCGGUCGUGUAAGUCGGGUGUGAAAGCCCCGGGCUCAACCUGGGAAUUGCAUUCGAGACUGCACGGCUGGAGUGCGGAAGAGGGAAGCGGAAUUUCCGGUGUAGCGGUGAAAUGCGUAGAUAUCGGAAGGAACAUCAGUGGCGAAAGCGGCUUCCUGGUCCAGCACUGACGCUCAGGCACGAAAGCAUGGGGAGCAAACAGG